CCUUGGCCGCGGGGCUGGGGGAGGCUCGCCCUCCUGGCGGCGCGGCGCUCACGGCCCCGGGGAAGGAAAGCGGCUUGGUGCUGCCUGGGAAUCCUCUGGCCUGAUAAAACCCUCGCCUGUUUCCAGCCCCCGGUCGGGGGGUGAGGGAUGCAGCUCAAGUGCAUGCGGACGCAGUUCUACCUUUAAUACUACUCAAAAUAACACCUGUCAAAUUGAUGGAGAAAGAGCUACAUCCUAGGGGACUGCUGAGGGUUUGCAGGCCUUGAAGGACUGGCAAUGGGAUACAAAGCUUUAAGCUCAUCAGAUGCUGUGACGUAAUUCUGAAAGUUUGCCUGUACCUUGAAUAUGAACCCUGUCACCCAAAAUUAGAUGAUACAAACAGCUUUGGAAUCAAAGGUCACAAGAC